GCUGGUUGUGGUGGUGCAUACCUGUUGUCCCCAAACUACUCUGAGGCUGAGGCAGAAGGAUUGCUUGAGCCCAGGACUUUCAGGACAGCCUAGGCAACAUGGCAAGACCUUGUCUCAA
rnacentral:sRNA from 1 species